rnacentral:misc_RNA from 1 species
AAGGACUAUAUAUACUAAAAUCAUCAUCUUCAGUUUUGAAAGACUUAAGUAGAAAAUAAGUUUUUCUUUUAAGCGCCAAAGGGCCUAUAGCUCAGUUGGUUAGAGCACACGCCUGAUAAGCGUGAGGUCGGUGGUUCAAGUCCAUUUAGGCCCACCAAAAAAAGGUCCUGCUUAAAA